rnacentral:tRNA from 1 species
AUUUAAAUAGCUUAUUUAGAGCAUAAUAUUGAAGAUAUUAAGGAAACCAAGGUUUUUAAAUA